CCUACGGGUGGCAGCAGUGAGGAAUAUUGGUCAAUGGACGAGAGUCUGAACCAGCCAAGUAGCGUGAAGGAUGACUGCCCUAUGGGUUGUAAACUUCUUUUAUAUGGGAAUAACAUGUUCCACGUGUGGGAUUUUGUAUGUACCAUAUGAAUAAGGAUCGGCUAACUCCGUGCCAGCAGCCGCGGUAAUACGGAGGAUCCGAGCGUUCUCCGGAUUUAUUGGGUUUAAAGGGAGCGUAGGUGGAUUGUUAAGUCAGUUGUGAAAGUUUGCGGCUCAACCGUAAAAUUGCAGUUGAAACUGGCAGUCUUGAGUACAGUAGAGGUGGGCGGAAUUCGUGGUGUAGCGGUGAAAUGCUUAGAUAUCACGAAGAACUCCGAUUGCGAAGGCAGUUCACUGGACUGCAACUGACACUGAGGCUCGAAAGUGUGGGUAUCAAACAGGAUUAGAUACCCUAGUAGUC
rnacentral:rRNA from 1 species